AUUGAACGCUGGCGGCAUGCCUUACACAUGCAAGUCGAACGGUAACAGGUCUUCGGAUGCUGACGAGUGGCGAACGGGUGAGUAAUACAUCGGAACUUGCCCGAUCUUGGGGGAUAACGAAACGAAAGCUUUGCUAAUACCGCAUAAGAUCUCCGGAUGAAAGCAGGGGACCGCUAUGCCUUUCGCGAACCGACCGGCCGGUGGCAGAUACGGUAGAUGGUGGGAUCAAAGCUAACCAAGCCGACCAUCUGUAGCUGGUCAGAGAGGACGACCAGCCACACUAGGACUGAGACACGGCUGAGACUCCUACGGGAGGCAGCAGUGGGGAGUUUUGGACAAUGGGCGAAAGCCUGAUCCAGCAAUGCCGCGUGGAGGAUGAAGGCCUUCGGGUUGUAAACUGCUUUUGUACGGAACGAAAAGACUCUGGUUAAUACCUGGGGUCCAUGACGGUACCGUAAGAAUAAGCACCGGCUAACUACGUG
rnacentral:rRNA from 1 species